GAUGAACGCUGGCGGCGUGCCUAAUACAUGCAAGUCGAGCGAACAGAUGAGGAGCUUGCUCCUCUGACGUUAGCGGCGGACGGGUGAGUAACACGUGGAUAACCUACCUAUAAGACUGGGAUAACUUCGGGAAACCGGAGCUAAUACCGGAUAAUAUAUUGAACCGCAUGGUUCAAUAGUGAAAGACGGUUUUGCUGUCACUUAUAGAUGGAUCCGCGCCGCAUUAGCUAGUUGGUAAGGUAACGGCUUACCAAGGCAACGAUGCGUAGCCGACCUGAGAGGGUGAUCGGCCACACUGGAACUGAGACACGGUCCAGACUCCUACGGGAGGCAGCAGUAGGGAAUCUUCCGCAAUGGGCGAAAGCCUGACGGAGCAACGCCGCGUGAGUGAUGAAGGUCUUCGGAUCGUAAAACUCUGUUAUUAGGGAAGAACAAAUGUGUAAGCAACUAUGCACGUCUUGACGGUACCUAAUCAGAAAGCCACGGCUAACUACG
rnacentral:rRNA from 1 species